GAUGAACGCUGGCGGCGUGCUUAACACAUGCAAGUCGAACGAAGCUGCUAAAAGGAAGUCUUCGGAUGGAAUUUUAGUAGACUUAGUGGCGGACGGGUGAGUAACGCGUGGAUAACCUGCCUUAUACAGGGGGAUAACGGAGAGAAAUUUCCGCUAAGACCGCAUAAGACCACAGCACCGCAUGGUGCAGGGGUAAAAUAUUUAUAGGUAUAAGAUGGAUCCGCGUCCGAUUAGCUAGUUGGUGAGGUAGAGGCUCACCAAGGCGACGAUCGGUAGCCGGCCUGAGAGGGUGAACGGCCACAUUGGGACUGAGACACGGCCCAAACUCCUACGGGAGGCAGCAGUGAGGAAUAUUGGUCAAUGGGCGCAAGCCUGAACCAGCCAAGUAGCGUGCAGGAAGACGGCCCUAUGGGUUGUAAACUGCUUUUAUACGAGAAUAAUUUGAUGCACGUGUGCGUUAUUGCAUGUAUCGUAUGAAUAAGGACCGGCUAAUUCCGUGCCAGCAGCCGCGGUAAUACGGAAGGUCCAGGCGUUAUCCGGAUUUAUUGGGUUUAAAGGGAGUGUAGGCGGUUUGUUAAGCGUGUUGUGAAAUUUAGGUGCUCAACAUUUAACUUGCAGCGCGAACUGUCAGACUUGAGUACACGCAACGUAUGCGGAAUUCAUGGUGUAGCGGUGAAAUGCUUAGAUAUCAUGAAGAACUCCGAUUGCGAAGGCAGCAUACGGGAGUGUAACUGACGCUUAAGCUCGAAGGUGCGGGUAUCGAACAGG
rnacentral:rRNA from 1 species